rfam:Mesitornis unicolor contig16595, whole genome shotgun sequence.
UGGCCGAGGAUGAAAACAAUAAUCUGAUUCCUUUUUUACUUUCAAUGAUACGCAGAAAUCUGAUGUAUUAAAGGAUUUUCUGAGGCCA